CAGCAGCCGCGGGAAUACGAAGGGUGCAAGCGUUACUCGGAAUUACUGGGCGUAAAGCGUGCGUAGGUGGUGGUUUAAGUCCGUUGUGAAAGCCCUGGGCUCAACCUGGGAAUUGCAGUGGAUACUGGGUCACUAGAGUGUGGUAGAGGAUAGUGGAAUUUCCGGUGUAGCAGUGAAAUGCGUAGAGAUCGGAAGGAACAUCUGUGGCGAAGGCGACUAUCUGGGCCAACACUGACACUGAGGCACGAAAGCGUGGUGAGCAAACAGGAUUAGAUACCCCCGUAGUCCCUGUCUCUUAUAC
rnacentral:rRNA from 1 species